rnacentral:rRNA from 1 species
UACGUAGGUGGCAAGCGUUGUCCGGAUUUACUGGGCGUAAAGAGCGCGCAGGCGAUCGAUCAAGUCGCGUGUGAAAGCCCCCGGCUCAACUGGGGAGGGUCACGCGAUACUGAUCGACUCGAAGGCAGGAGAGGGUAGUGGAAUUCCCGGUGUAGUGGUGAAAUGCGUAGAUAUCGGGAGGAACACCAGUGGCGAAGGCGACUACCUGGCCUGUUCUUGACGCUGAGGCGCGAAAGCUAGGGGAGCAAACGGG